GGGCGUAAAGAGCUCGUAGGCGGUUUGUCGCGUCUGCUGUGAAAUCCCGAGGCUCAACCUCGGGUCUGCAGUGGGUACGGGCAGACUAGAGUGUGGUAGGGGAGAUUGGAAUUCCUGGUGUAGCGGUGGAAUGCGCAGAUAUCAGGAGGAACACCGAUGGCGAAGGCAGAUCUCUGGGCCAUUACUGACGCUGAGGAGCGAAAGCAUGGGGAGCGAACAGGAUUAGAUACCCUGGUAGUCCAUGCCGUAAACGUUGGGCGCUAGAUGUGGGGACCAUUCCACGGUUUCCGUGUCGUAGCUAACGCAUUAAGCGCCCCGCCUGGGGAGUACGGCCGCAAGGCUAAAACUCAAAGGAAUUGACGGGGGCCCGCACAAGCGGCGGAGCAUGCGGAUUAAUUCGAUGCAACGCGAAGAACCUUACCAAGGCUUGACAUAUACCGGAAACGUUCAGAAAUGUUCGCCCCGCAAGGUCGGUAUACAGGUGGUGCAUGGUUGUCGUCAGCUCGUGUCGUGAGAUGUUGGGUUAAGUCCCGCAACGAGCGCAACCCUCGUCGUAUGUUGCCAGCACGUAAUGGUGGGAACUCAUAUGAGACUGCCGGGGUCAACUCGGAGGAAGGUGGGGAUGACGUCAAAUCAUCAUGCCCCUUAUGUCUUGGGCUUCACGCAUGCUACAAUGGCUGGUACAAUGGGCUGCAAUACCGCGAGGUGGAGCGAAUCCCAAAAAGCCAGUCUCAGUUCGGAUUGGGGUCUGCAACUCGACCCCAUGAAGUCGGAGUCGCUAGUAAUCGCAGAUCAGCAACGCUGCGGUGAAUAC
rnacentral:rRNA from 1 species